rnacentral:lncRNA from 1 species
GUGUACCGGUACAGGUUGAUGGCUGUACCGGUACAGCAAGCGACCCGAGAAAAAGGCUGCUCUCGGGUUUAAGCUGGAAAAAGGCUGGGUACCGGUGACAGGAUUUCGUGUACCGGUACCGUGCACCGUGGACCACCGAAAAAGGCUGUUGUACCGGUGACAGGAACCCGUGUACCGGUACGGUGCACCGUGGACCGCAGGCGCAGCCUGCUACAGAAUUAGAGAGUGGGAGGGGUUUAUUUGCAAUUGUUACCAUAUGUAAUAUCCCUAAACCCUCUUCCUCACAGCAGAUCCCUCUCCCUCUCUCCCUCUCGUGUCUCUCUCUCUCCCUCUCAACCGGUUGCAAGGGAAGGGAAGGAAAAGAAGAAAAGAGAAGGAAAAAGAGAAGAGAAGUAAAGAAAAGAAGAAAAAGAAGGAGAAGAAGAAGCUCAUCUUCAUCUUCAU